rnacentral:rRNA from 1 species
GACAGAGGCCCCAAGCGUUAGGCGGAAUCACUGGGCUUAAAGCGUGUGUAGGCGGAUCGUUAAGUGUCUUGUGAAAUCCCACGGCUCACCCGUGGAACUGCUGGGCAUACUGGCGAUCUUGGGCCAACUAGGGGCAGCCGGAACAAGCGGUGGAGCGGUGAAAUGCGUAGAUAUCGCUUGGAACGCCGAAGGUGAAAACAGGUAGCUGGGAGUGUGCUGACGCUGAGACACGAAAGCCAGGGGAGCGAACGGG